GACGAACGCUGGCGGCGUGCUUAACACAUGCAAGUCGAACGGAAAGGCCCCUUUGGGGGUACUCGAGUGGCGAACGGGUGAGUAACACGUGAGUAACCUGCCCUUGACUUCGGGAUAACUUCAGGAAACUGGGGCUAAUACCGGAUAGGAAUCCUUGCUGCAUGGUGGGGGUUGGAAAGCUUCGGCGGUUUUGGAUGGACUCGCGGCUUAUCAGCUUGUUGGUGGGGUAGUGGCUUACCAAGGCUUUGACGGGUAGCCGGCCUGAGAGGGCGACCGGCCACAUUGGGACUGAGAUACGGCCCAGACUCCUACGGGAGGCAGCAGGGGGGAAUAUUGCACAAUGGGCGGAAGCCUGAUGCAGAAACGCCGCGUGCGGGAUGACGGCCUUCGGGUUGUAAACCGCUUUCAGCAGGGGCGAAGCUUGUGGUGACGGUACCUGCAGAAGAAGCACCGGCUAACUACGUG
rnacentral:rRNA from 1 species